rnacentral:rRNA from 1 species
AUUGAACGCUGGCGGCAUGCCUUACACAUGCAAGUCGAACGGCAGCACGGGAGCAAUCCUGGUGGCGAGUGGCGAACGGGUGAGUAAUAUAUCGGAACGUGCCCAGUCGUGGGGGAUAACGCAGCGAAAGCUGUGCUAAUACCGCAUACGAUCUAUGGAUGAAAGCGGGGGAUCGCAAGACCUCGCGCGAUUGGAGCGGCCGAUAUCAGAUUAGCUAGUUGGUGAGGUAAAGGCUCACCAAGGCGACGAUCUGUAGCUGGUCUGAGAGGACGACCAGCCACACUGGAACUGAGACACGGUCCAGACUCCUACGGGAGGCAGCAGUGGGGAAUUUUGGACAAUGGGCGAAAGCCUGAUCCAGCAAUGCCGCGUGCAGGAUGAAGGCCUUCGGGUUGUAAACUGCUUUUGUACGGAACGAAACGGUGAGCUCUAAUACAGUUUGCUAAUGACGGUACCGUAAGAAUAAACACCGGCUAACUACGUGCCAGCAGCCGCCGUAA